rnacentral:rRNA from 1 species
UACGUAGGUGACAAGCGUUGUCCGGAUUUACUGGGCGUAAAGAGCGCGCAGGCGGUCGAUCAAGUCGAGUGUGAAAGCCCCCGGCUCAACUGGGGAGGGUCAUUCGAAACUGGUCGACUCGAAGGCAGGAGAGGGAAGUGGAAUUCCCGGUGUAGUGGUGAAAUGCGUAGAUAUCGGGAGGAACACCAGUGGCGAAGGCGACUUCCUGGCCUGUUCUUGACGCUGAGGCGCGAAAGCUAGGGGAGCAAACGGG